CAGAGAAUAGUUUAAUUAAAAUAAUAAUUUUGGAGAUUAUAGAUAAAAUAAAUAUUUUUUCUCUGA
rnacentral:tRNA from 1 species